UGUUGAAGUCUCUUUAAAGCUUACCAGUUGGAAGCACAGUCCACAUCAACCAUGAGAGAGGUGUGAAUUCAAUUGCUUGAGCCAUCACUACUGCCUGCCCAUUUCUGCAUCAGCUGGAAGUCAAAGCUGGAGCCACAAUUGCAAAGUAAAUUAAAUUUUAGUGAUUCAGGAUUUAAGUUGACUUUCAAAUUGAAGAACCUUCGAGGAAAGAGAGAAGCCAGAAACACCCAAGAUGUUGUUUGCUACACUGAACAUGCACACCCGCUCCCCAGAAAAAUCACGUUGUAAGAAGUUACAAAAAAAGCAAGCAAGACACAGAGAGAUUUCUCAUUCUCUCGUUCAUUCCUAAAACACUGUUGACAGGUAAGUAGGGUCAGGCUGAAGACAGAAGCUACAAACUCAAUCCAAGCCUCCCAUGUGAGUGACACGGACCCAGCUAUUUGAGCAUCAUAUGCUGCUUCCUGGGUGCACAUGAAGCAGGAAGUUAUCAUCAAGACUUAUCCAAGGUUCAAGCCCAGGCACUCUGAUACGGGACACCAGCAUCCUAAGAAGUGUCUUAACCACCAUGCCAAUAGCCACCCAGGGAGCUUCUUUUAACUUGUGUUCUUGAGCAAAUCAAAUUUUCUGAGCCUGAGAUCAAAGAAUCUACCUGCUAAUGCCCUUGAGACAUUCAGUGAGAUAAUUCAUGGACCAUGCAUGACACAAUUCCUAGAUCUAGUGUUUAAGAAGCAUUGUUAUUAGCUUUUCUUCAUGAUUAACAAUGAACAUGACUGCAUGGACAUAUUUAUAAACUUCAAAUAUGCCAAAAUUUCAUAGGGCAACAGCUAGUCUAUCCUGGCAGACAGAGAAGAGUGCAGAACAGGAGCUGGCAAACCAUGGCCUGCUCCCACUUUGUGCUGUUGGAACGCAGCAGUGCAUUCAUUUACCAAUUUUCUAAAGCUUCCUUUGUGUUAGAAGAAAGGAAUUGAGUAGUUGCAUCAGACUGCAUGGCAAGCAAAACCUAACCUAUUGAUUAUGUAGCUCUCCACUAACACAUGUCACCAUCCUCUUGUCCAGACCAUAAAGACAAUGCAAGGAACCAGCAAAGAAUAUAUGGAAAUUAAAAUAAAUGCAAUGCUCAGAGCAAUGCUGAAGAAAGAAGAAACUGAGAAAUUUUACUGCCCUGACGCAUUUAU